GUGCACGCACGAGUUGGAUCACUUAACAAAAGCAACAUAUGAAAGUGCACAUGCAAAAUUAUUGCAAGAGGAACGUAGACAUACUGACGUAAGUACAGAGCCUGAGUGUUCGGACAGUAUGGGCCGGGGGAAGCGAAAAAAGCGGCCAGUUGUCAUGUCCAGCGAAGAUGAGGAGAAUGAUGACAUCCAUCCUCUUCCUCCUCCACCCGGGGCUCUGCGAAUGCCUCCACCUCUUCCUCAUCCACCUGGGGCUCUGCGAACGCCUCCACCUCUUCCUCCUCCACCCGGGGCUCUGCGAAAGCCUCCACCUCUUCCUCCUCCACCCGGGGCUCUGCGAACGCCUCCACCUCUUCCUCCUCCACCCGGGGCUCUGCGAACGCCUCCACCUCUUCCUCCUCCACCCGGGGCUCUGCGAACGCCUCCAC